UUGGUGUGCUCAGAGCAGCCUAUGGUGAAACCCUUCCUAGGCUGUUUAUACCACACCGUAAAUCAAUCCUCUGCAGCUACCACGGUGGGACGUGAAGAAAGUGUCCUCCCCGGUGUAGGUUGCAGUACAUGU